GCAAGAUGUAGAGUUAAAAAUAUGAAGAGGCACAUACAUAUGAGAUACAUAUGACAACUAGAUAUCAAUUAUAACUAAGCAUUGGAAGUUGUUCACCAUUGCUCCUAAUUUCUUCCUUCCUCUUCCUUAUAAACUCAUCAAAUUUCUUGUUUAAUUCUUCUAUGGUCUCUCCAUCAUUCUCUAUUACAAAUUUUACAUCUUCUUCAAUUCCAUCCACCCUAAUCACCAAUUCUUCAUCCUCCACCAGAUCGUCCUCAUAUUGUGUUUCUAACGCGUCAUGGAUGUUCUUGAUGUAGAUGUGUUCCUUAAGGUCAAAGCUUGAUUGAGAGAUUAAGGAACCGGACGUUUUGACUAACACCACUAAUAUCCCGUUGCAUAUAAGAAACACGUACGUCUUGUCCACACGUUGUGUCAAAAGUAACUCAAUAGGAUACACCAUAUCAACAUAACUUGACAAGACAGAACAAUAGUAAUCGUAAUAGUAGUAGUAGGCAAACAAGCAUGAAAACAAGGAAACCGAUAACACCAAAGGUAAUUGUGUGACACCCUUUCUUGUUAUUCUUUUCUUCUGAAUUUGCUCCAUCGUUUCAUUGGUAUGAUUCUUUGCUCCAAAAACACACACCUUUUAUUAAUUAGAAAAUGAGUGAUGAAAUAUGAAAGAAGGGAUAGAAUGUUAUGCAAACAAGCAUGAAAACAAGGAAACCGAUAACACCAAAGGUAAUUGUGUGACACCCUUUCUUGUUAUUCUUUUCUUCUGA
rnacentral:lncRNA from 1 species